rnacentral:rRNA from 1 species
AAGAAACCAACAGGGAUUGCCUCAGUAGCGGCGAGUGAAGCGGCAAGAGCUCAGAUUUGAAAUCGUGCUUUGCGGCACGAGUUGUAGAUUGCAGGUUGGAGUCUGUGUGGAAGGCGGUGUCCAAGUCUCUUGGAACAGGGCGCCCAGGAGGGUGAGAGCCCCGUGGGAUGCCGGCGGAAGCAGUGAGGCCCUUCUGACGAGUCGAGUUGUUUGGGAAUGCAGCUCCAAGCGGGUGGUAAAUUCCAUCUAAGGCUAAAUACUGGCGAGAGACCGAUAGCGAACAAGUACUGUGAAGGAAAGAUGAAAAGCACUUUGAAAAGAGAGUGAAACAGCACGUGAAAUUGUUGAAAGGGAAGGGUAUUGCGCCCGACAUGGGGAUUGCGCACCGCUGCCUCUCGUGGGCGGCGCUCUGGGCUUUCCCUGGGCCAGCAUCGGUUCUUGCUGCAGGAGAAGGGGUUCUGGAACGUGGCUCUUCGGAGUGUUAUAGCCAGGGCCAGAUGCUGCGUGCGGGGACCGAGGACUGCGGCCGUGUAGGUCACGGAUGCUGGCAGAACGGCGCAACACCGCCCGUCUUGAAACACGGACC